rnacentral:rRNA from 1 species
CUGGCUCAAGAUGAACGCUGGCGGCGUGCCUAACACAUGCAAGUCGAACGGGGUAUAUAAGCGGAAGUUUACGGAUGGAAGGUUAUAUACUUAGUGGCGGACGGGUGAGUAACGCGUGGGCAACCUGCCCCGUGCCGGGGGAUACCGCCUGGAAACAGGCGCUAAUACCGCAUAAGCGCAUACAGCCGCAUGGGUGUAUGCGGAAAGCUCCGGCGGCACGGGAUGGGCCCGCGCCCGAUUAGCCAGUUGGCGGGGUAACGGCCCACCAAAGCGACGAUCGGUAGCCGGCCUGAGAGGGCGGACGGCCACAUUGGGACUGAGACACGGCCCAAACUCCUACGGGAGGCAGCAGUGGGGAAUAUUGCACAAUGGGGGAAACCCUGAUGCAGCAACGCCGCGUGGGUGAAGAAGUAUUUCGGUAUGUAAAGCUCUAUCAGCAGGGAAGAAAAUGACGGUACCUGAUUAAGAAGCCCCGGCUAACUACGUGCCAGCAGCCGCGGUAAUACGUAGGGGGCAAGCGUUAUCCGGAUUUACUG